rfam:Deltaproteobacteria bacterium RBG_16_48_10 RBG_16_scaffold_78858, whole genome shotgun sequence.
CUGAGCGUUGAGAGAUCAACGUUGACCGCAGGGGAGAAGUCAGCAGAGGGCAUAUUAGGUCAGUAGUGACCGAAGGCC